rnacentral:rRNA from 1 species
GAUGAACGCUGACAGAAUGCUUAACACAUGCAAGUCUACUUGAACUUCGGUUUGGGUGGCGGACGGGUGAGUAACGCGUAAAGAACUUGCCUCACAGUUAGGGACAACAUUUGGAAACGAAUGCUAAUACCUGAUAUUAUGAUUUUAGGGCAUCCUAAAAUUAUGAAAGCUAUAUGCGCUGUGAGAGAGCUUUGCGUCCCAUUAGCUAGUUGGAGAGGUAACGGCUCACCAAGGCGAUGAUGGGUAGCCGGCCUGAGAGGGUGAACGGCCACAAGGGGACUGAGACACGGCCAUUACUCCUACGGGAGGCAGCAGUGGGGAAUAUUGGACAAUGGACCAAAAGUCUGAUCCAGCAAUUCGGUGUGCACGAAAACGUUUUUCGGAAUGAAAAGUGCUUUCAGUUGGGAAGAAAAAAAUGACGGUACCAAAAGAAGAAGUGACGGCUAAAUACGUG